rnacentral:rRNA from 1 species
GGGGAAUAUUGCACAAUGGGGGAAACCCUGAUGCAGCAACGCCGCGUGAGUGAUGACGGUCUUCGGAUUGUAGAGCUCUGUCUUCAGGGACGAUAAUGACGGUACCUGAGGAGGAAGCCACGGCUAACUACGUGCCAGCUGCCGCGGUAAUACGUAGGUGGCAAGCGUUGUCCGGAUUUACUGGGCGCAAAGGGAGCGUAGGUGGAUAUUUAAGUGGGAUGUGAAAUACUCGGGCUUAACCUGGGUGCUGCAUUCCAAACUGGAUAUCUAGAGUGCAGGAGAGGAAAGUAGAAUUCCUAGUGUAGCGGUGAAAUGCGUAGAGAUGAGGAAGAAUACCAGUGGCGAAGGCGACUUUCUGGACUGUAACUGACACUGAGGCUCGAAAGCGUGGGGAGCAAACA